CUGGAGUGCAGUGGCAUGAUCUUGGCUCACUUCAACCUUCACCCCCUCCCCCGCCCCCUGCCGGGUUCAAGUGAUUCCCAUGUUUCAGCUUCCUGAGUAGCUGAGAUUACAGGCUUGCGCCACCACACCUGUCUAAUUUUUGUAGAGACGGGGUUUCACCAUGUUGGCCAGGCUGGUCUGGAACUCCUGACUUGAAGUGAUCUGCCCACCUCGGCUUCCCAAAGUGCUGGGAUUACAGGCGUGAGCCACUGCGCCUGGCCCCUUCAGGUGGGUAUUGAGGCUUCACUACAAUACUAGUUCCCCGUUGCUGCCGCAAUAAAUUGCCACACACUUAGUGGCUUAAAACAGCACAGAGGUAUUCCUUUACAUUUCUGAAGGCCAGAAUUCUAAAGUCAGUCCCACUGAGUCAACGUGGGAGCAGGGUCAGUGCCUUCCCAGGCUCUGCGGGAGAAUCUGUUUCCUGGCCCUGGAGGCGGCCUGUACUCCUCAGCUUGUGCUGCCCUUCUCGAAUGACUCGCGUUUCCUGCUUUCAUCACUACACCUCCCACCGCUCUCCAUCACCUGCUCUGCUCUUAUAAGGAUCCAGAGAAAUGGAAUAAUCUUAUUGCUGAUCUAUGUAAACAAGUUGAAGAAUUGUCUGAAAGAAAAUAUGGUGUGUCUAAACUGGAAAAGUCCUGUAAUACUUUGUUCAUAAGCAUUUACACAAUGGAGUUACUGUUCAUCAUGGGGGUACUGUGGACAAGCCCAGGGCUGCUGUAGAGACAGAGUUUUUCCAUGUAGGCCAGGCUGGCCUCAAACUCCUGACCUCAAGUGAUCCACCUGCCUCCCAAAGUGGGAUUACAGAUACAUGAAGUUAUGAAUUUAAGAUGUGAAGAUUUACAGCUUGAUAAACCAGCUUCAGGAGACAUGAUCUUAUGAAUUCAACACAUGAAGAUUUACAACUUGAUAAACCAGCUUCAGGAGAUCAGAACUUCUUACAAUACAGCUGACGUUACUCAGCCUAGAACAAAUACAACAGGGAUUGUGCUGCAUUCUGACUUGGAUUCUGCCAUCGAACACAGAAUGCCCUGAUUCUUAGAUGCAGAGGCAGCUCUUCAGCCUAUGGGGGUUGCUGUAAAAUAUUACAGGCAUACUUUGGAGAUAUUACAGGUUUGGUUCCACACCACUGCAAUAAAGCCUUCCACAUAUACAGUCAUAUUUCUUAUAUUACACGACUCCAGCGGGAGGAAGAAGAGGCCUUUGCCAGCAGUCAGAGCAGCCAAGGGGCCCAAUCCCUCACAUUCUCCAAGUUUGAAGGAAAGAAAACCAACAAGAAGACCCGCAAGGUUACCACAGUGAAGAAAUCUUCAGUACGUCUUCCAGGGUCGGAUCAAAGAAGGCAGAAAUUCAGGAAGCAAAAGCUCCCAGUCCUUCCAUAAACCGGCAAACCAGCAUUGAAACGGAUAGAGUGUCUAAGGAGUUCAUAGAAUUUCUCAAGACCUUCCGCAAGACAGGCCAAGAAAUGUAUAAACAGACCAAGCUGUUUUUGGAAGGGAUGCAUUACAAAAAGUGCCUCCAGAAUGACUUGAGAAGAUAAAUGGAUCAGAUUGAAAAGUACAUCAUGACUCAUCUCUAUAAAUAUGUGUUCUGUCCAGAAACUGCUGAUGAUGAGAUGAAAGAUCUUGCCAUUCAAAAGAGGAUCAGAGUGGAAGCUGCUCUGUGGUGUCAGAAAGACAAGGAAUGUGGUGACCUCACCUAUCCAUCUCCCUCAAGGCAGCUUUUGAGCCCUGCACUGGGUUACACCUCAGAUGCUGUGUGUCCCUGUUAAUGAAGACAUCCCAGAAGUGUCUGAUAUGGUGUUGAAGGCAAUCACAGCUUAAGCUCUUGGACCUCAGCUGAGGCAGUAAAAGAACCAUAUCCUGUGUUUGAAUCAAACCCCGAGUUCCUGUAUGUUUAGAAGGUUUGCCAGACAGGAUUCCCUUUUGAAGCCCUCCUGGUUUGGAAUUCCAUGACUUAAAAGGAUCGUCCGUGGGAGUAAUAACAUCAAGUUUGUUGGUAAAAACUUCACAGUUUCUAAAAAGACCACGAAGCCCUGAGAGUAAUGAAAAGGUUCCUGAAAUUGAGGUCACUGUGGAAGAAGGAAACGUGUCAUGUACCAGCUAUCCAUCCAAUGACUGCCCAUCAGUUCCAUAUUCACCCUUCACUGCCUGAUCUGCAAACAUAGAGGAGAAUCUAAUGCCUGAUGAUCUGUCAUUGUCUCCCAUCACCUCCAGAUGGGACCAUCUAGUUGCAGGAAAAGAAGGUCAAGACUCCCACUCAUUCUACAUUAUGUCUUCCUGUGUUGCCCAGGCUGGAGCACAGUGGUUUGAUCUUGGCUCACUGCAGUCUCAACCUCUCAGGCUCAAGCUAUCCUUCUGCCUCAGACUCUGGGGUAGCUGGGACAACAGCCUCAGCCAAGAUGUCUCACCCUACUCUCUAUGAUGCAACAAGAAGCCCCUGGGGAAUGUUUCAGUCCCAGUCUGUACUAUUGUCAUGUGCUCAUCACAGUCUGGUGGAAUUUAAAUGACCUUUUAUCAAGAUGGAUAAACCCAAGUUUCCCAGUGCUGGAAUACAGAAAAUGGAUGGACAACUGGAUCUACCAUGAAAGACUUCAGAGUUCAGGAAGAGAGACUGACUGGGCAACAUCUUAUUCAGGUACAAAAAGACUUGGACUAUGACUCAAAAAUGAUCAAAUAAUAGUUCAUGCAUCAAAUGCAAUAGGAAGUACUUCUGGAGGGUGAGAGAAGCAUCCAGUUAAGGUGACAUUGAAGCUGGGUCCUGAAAGAUGAGGAAGAGUUGUAUGAGAGUGGGCAGAGAAGGGGGAGGUGGAGGGAUGGGGAAUGGGCUGGGAUGGAGUGAGCUGCUCAAGCAGGGAGACCAGCACUGUAAAGACCUGGACGAUAAAGACGGCACAUUUUAUUCAGGGAAUGGUGAAUUAAGUGUGGCAGAAAUGCUUUGGAGAGAUAGUAAUUUGCCUGUAUGGAAUUUUGCCCGAGAGGCCUCAUUACAGUUUCUAAUCUUUUGAUGUUAUCAUCUAUCACUGUCCUUGUCAAAUAGUUUGGAAUAGGUAUAAUGAUCACAAUAACAUCAAGCAUAAUAUUUCAUUAAUUCUCACAAAAUCACAGGUAGGUGCCACAGUUAUCCCCAUUUUGUGAAUGAAGUGAUGAAGACUUAGGAAUAAUGAGUGAUUUGCCCAAGCUCACCGGGAUAUUAAGACUGAGUCAAAUGUGGGGUCUGGUCUGACUUUAAUGUUUGCUUUGUUCAUGAGCACCACGUAUUGCCUCUCCUAUGCAGUUAAGCAGGUAGACAGGUGAAAGAAAAGCCCGUGUUAGUCUCUACUCACACACUUCCGACUGAAUGUGUGUGUGGAAUUUCUACACCAAGUUCUCCAAUGCUCUGGAUAUUAACUGGGUAUCCUACAAUUUUAUUCUGACACUUCCUGGAGUUGGCGUAGACCCCACAGGUUACGGGCUCAGUCCCACAAGACCACCCUUGCUUCACAUUGCAAUGGCAAGUCCUAGGUUGUCACCUGUACUUUUGACCAACCUGUUACAAAUCAGGGGUUCCCAUGACCCCCUCUUGGAGUUUAAUCAUUUGCUAGAGCAGCUUACAGAACUCAGAAAAACAGUUUGUUUCCUUUUUUUCUGAGAGACAGGGUCUCAUUUUGUUGUCCAGGCUGGUGUGCAGUGGUGCAGUCAUAGCUCACUGCAGCCUCGACUGCCUGGGCUCAAGUGGUCCUCCCACCUCAGCCUCCCUAGUAGCUGAGACUACAUGCUUGCACCACCGUUUCUGGCUUAUUUAUUUUUUGUAGAGAUGGGGUCUUGUUAUGUUGCACAGGUUGGCCACAAAUUCCUGGGCCCAAGCGAUCCUCCCACCGCAGCCUCUUUGAAGUGCUGGGAUUACAGAUGUGAGCCACCACAUUUCCUAUUACUGGUUCCUUGUAAAGGAUAUAUCGCAGAAACAGCUAAUGAAAGAGAUGUAUGUGCCAGAUGCAGUGGCUCACGCUGUAAUCCCAACACUUUGGGAGGCUGAGGUAGGAGGAUUGCUUAAACUCAGGAGUUUGAGACCAGCCUGGGCAACAUGGUGAAACCCUGUCUCUGUAAAAAAUUUUUAAAAAGCUGGGCACGGUGGCUCAAGCCUGUAAUCCCAGCACUCUGGGAGGCCAAGGUGGGUGAAUCACGAGGUCAGGAGUUGAAGACCAGUCUGACAAACAUGGUGAAACCCCGUCUCAACUAAAAAUGCAAAAGUUAGCCAGGCGUGGUGGCGCACACCUACAAUCCCAGCUACUUAGGAGGCUGAGGCAGGAGAAUCGCUUGAACCUGGGAGGUGGAGGUUGCAGUGAGCUGAGAUCACACCACUGCACUUUAGCUUGGGCAACAGAGCUAGACUCUUGUCUCAAUAAAUAAAUUAACUGAGUGCGGUGGUGUGCACCUGUAGUUCCAGUUACUACAGAACUAGACUCCAUCUCAAUAAAUUAAAUAAAUAAAUAAAUAAAUAAAUGAAUAAAUAACUGAG
rnacentral:sRNA from 1 species